rnacentral:rRNA from 1 species
CAGCCGCCGCGGUAAUACGUAGGGUGCGAGCGUUAAUCGGAUUUACUGGGCGUAAAGCGUGCGCAGGCGGCCCGUUAAGACAGGUGUGAAAUCCCUGGGCUCAACCUAGGAAUUGCGCUUGUGACUGGCGGGCUCGAGUACGGUAGAGGGGGGUGGAAUUCCUGGUGUAGCAGUGAAAUGCGUAGAGAUCAGGAGGAACACCGAUGGCGAAGGCAGUCCCCUGGGCCUGUACUGACGCUCAUGCACGAAAGCGUGGGGAGCAAACAGGAUUAGAUACCCUGGUAGUCCACGCCCUAAACGAUGGGUACUAGCCGUUUGGUGCGCGAUAGCGCUGAGUGGCGAAGCUAACGCGUGAAGUACCCCGCCUGGGGAGUACGGCCGCAAGGUUGAAACUUAAAGGAAUUGGCGGG